rnacentral:lncRNA from 1 species
ACUAGUAUCCAUGAGGAAGCAGGUUCGAUCCCUGGCCUCCCUCAGUGGGUUAAGGAUCCGGCAUUGCAGUGAGCUGCGGUGUAGGUCGCAGAAACAACACGGAUCCCAGGUUGCUGUGGCUAUGACAUAGGCCAGCAGCUGCAGCUCAGAUUCAAUCCCUAGCCUGGGAAUUUCCAUAUGCUGCAGGUGCGGCCAUAAAAAGUAAAAUAAGUAAACAAACAAACAAACAAGACAUGCUUUAGGGUAUACCAGAACAUGUCCUUAUUUGAUUCAAGUAAGUGUGGCUCACCUGUACAAUCUACAACAAAAAGGAUUUUUUAGAUAUUGUCUUGGAAGGAGACACUGCUUUUAGCAUGUUGUGGCUGCAGAAUAGCUUGAAUUGUAUGUUGUCAGGAAUUGAGUUAAAUAAAAUCAUUAUGUGCGCAGUGUGAAACACAGACAUCACAGACCUUGCUGUGUUUGGGAAUAAAUGAACUCAGAGGGAUGUCAACUGUCACUGAUAGUUAGUCCCACCUGCCAGCCCAAGACCUUAGGAUCCUCUUCAUGUUCACUUCCUAUUGCUUCCAAGGGUCAUUAGGAAAUGAAACAGGCAUGCUUAGGAAGAAUUCUGCUUCUGAUCUGCAAUGCCUGCUUGGGUGGUGUGUGAUGCCCCAAAGCCACUGUCCAGGGUGCUGCUUCCUGGCACUCCAGCAGUUGCAAAACACCAGAGGUGCUUAAAUCCCAAGGUCCACCAAAGCCCCCAUGAAAAAAGCCCAUUUGACCUGCUCUACAGCAUGAAGACCUCUACCCAAUAUUCUGUGAUAAUACACAUGAGAGAAAAAAGAAUCUGAAAGAGAAUGGAUGUGUGUACAUGCGUAACUGAAAGACCUUUGUUGUACAGCAGAAAUUAUCACAACCUUGUAAGUCAAUUAUACUUCAAUAAAACUGUUUUAAAAAGCCAAUUUGAUUCUGUUUUCCACCUCUCUUUACAAGGUGGCCAUACCCUGUUUCUGAGUAUUAGAAUGUGCCGUCCUCCACUCCCCAUCCUUCAUGCCUCUGCUCCCAGGUAAUUGUGUGUGAAUGGGGAGGAUUUGGCUCCUGGCUCUGUGAGCAAUCUCUGAGACUGUGUUGACUUCUUGUAAAUUAUAAAACUCUCAGGAGAAAAAAUUGAAGGGACAGUGGUUUAAAUUAUAGGCUAAUUAGCACCUAUGGCAUGUAGAAGGUUAGGGGUUGGAUAAAUCGAAGCUGCAGCUGCCGGCCUAUGCCAGAGCCAUAACAACGCCAGAUCUGAGCCAUGUCUGUGACCUACACCACAGCUCACGGCAACACCAGAUCCUUAAACCACUGAGCGAGGCCAGGGAUCGAACCCUCAUCCUCAUGGAUACUAGUCAGAUUCUUUACCACUGAACCACAAUGGGAACUUCAAGAAUUACUUUUUAUAUUUCUUCAGAAUACAUUGUCAGAAUUAGAACAGACUUGGGGAGUCAAAAAUUUCAUUUCCAUUGACACAAGUGAGGGGUCACUCUUUCCAGGACUAAAAUUAAGAGAAUUGCUUCAGUUCACACAAGAAGAUGGAGGCAGAGCUCCAAAUUUACACCCAAGUUUUCUGACAAUUUAUCCUACUUGUCCCCAUAAUUCUAGAAUUUUUAUUUUGUUGUGUAUGAUUUGUUGUUAUGAUCUUUUUUUCAUUCCCUUCCUUCCCUUCUUCCUUCCUCCUUCCUGCUUUUCUUCAGGGCUGCAGAGACUCAACAUGGAGGGAAAAAAAGUAGUAUUAUUUCGUUUAACCCUUAUAACACCUCAUAAGGUACAGGUUAUUUUCCCUAAGUUUUACAGAAACUAAAACUUAAAACUUACAUAACUUGUCCACAGUCACAGUACAGUUUAUAAUAACAGAGCUAGACCAUGAACCCAGCUUGUUCAGCCUUACUUUCCCUGUCUGGGACAAAUGAGAGUUAAUCUUUGCCUCAAAAAUAUUCAAGCCCCACUUUUGUCUUAUAAGCCCAACCAGUGGUAGGAACGAAAACUCCUUCAUAUCAAAAAAUACUAAAAAUUUUUUUCAAAAAUAUAAAAAAAGUUUUCAGAAAUCCUCCUGUUCAAUAAACAUAAAAUUUAAAUGUAAGAUCUUCCAUUGACUAAAGAGGUUACAAAAUAUGUGAAGGGAGAAUAUUUCCUUUUAUUCAUUGCGCAUCUCUAUGAGAAGUUCCUCUGGACAUCUAAUAAUAUUCUUCUACAUUAUUAAUUUCUAGGCAAUAGAAAAAUAAUAAGAUUUUUAUUAAAUCUUAGAGAUGCAAUCUUGAGAAUGUAAAGAACAUGAUUAGUAAGGUAAAAAGCGUGUGGGACUCUGCAGCUAAACACUAUAUUGAGCUAUUCUUCUUGGAAAUGUGUAAAUGUUUUAUCUAAUAAACAGAUGGACCUAAGGGUCAGUUUUGUUAUUCUUCACUUUGGAGAUAAUAAUAAUAUUCAGGGAAUUAUUGGCUUUGUAGCUGAGAGCAAUUAUUCCUUCAAGCUAUUCUUUGAUUUAAAUAGCUUUUAUUAGACUUUGAACUAUGUUGUCAUUUAUCCAAAAGACUAUUGUUUGGUUGGAAAGACUUUUUUGUUAGCCCAGUGUUUUUCUUUAGUAACCAAAGGACUUGGUCUGAAAGACUAGGAUAUUUUUAAAUUUAAAAAAAUUACUUGGGAGUUCCCACCAUGGCUCAGUGGUGAACAAAUCCGAAUAGGAACCAUGAGGUGCGGGUUCGAUCCCUGGCCUCGCUCAGUGGGUUAACGAUCUGGCAUUGCCAUGAGCUGUGGUGUAGGUCAAAGACACGGCUCGGAUCCUGCAUUGCUGUGGCUGUGGCAUAGGUCUACAGCUAUAGCUCCGAUUCGACCCCUAGCCUGGGAACCUCCAUAUGCUGCGGGAACGGUCCUAGAAAAGGCAAAAAAGACCAAAAAUAAAUAAAUAAAUAAAAAUAAAUAAAUAAAUAAAUAAAUAAUUACUUGGAGGAAUCUGAUUUAAAUUUAAAUGAGAGUCAUCUUUAGGCUCUGCCGAGAGAGAUCAUCCAAGCAGAAGAUUACAGCAGUCCUGAGCUUGGGGCUGGUGGUCUAAGUAUCUUGGUGCUUGGGGUGAGAUACUAAGAUCCACCACUUAUUUGCUGUGCAAUUUGGGGCACUUUUUCUCAGGCUCUUUAUGCCUCCAUUUUUACAUCUGUAAAAUGGGGAUAAUAGUACUUCCAAAUUUAUUAAGCUAUCAUGGGAAUUCUGCUAGUCACUGAGCGCUAAGUGCUUAGAAGUAUGCCCUGGUCCUUGGGAAGCCUCAGAGAAUCUUUAAACCAGAGCUUCCCAAACUUUGGUGAGUAUUAGAAUCUCCUAAGGAAUACAGAGAUGAGGGCCCCGCUCUACCUCAGUGAGCUUGGGCCUUUGUGUUCUUUAUUAGGGUUUCAAGUGGUGAUGAUACAUAGGCAAGUGUGAAGACCCCUGGUUUAGGAGUUUC